GCAAAUUCCACCUUCUAUAUAUAUAAAGUGAUAGAAAGAAGCACACAGACACAUAAACCACAAAAAUCACUGUUAAGUAAGCACAUCAAGUGUUUUAUUUGCAAGAGAUCACCAAGAAAUGGCUCUUGACAAGACUCUUUUAGCUAUUAACACCAUCACUAUUGCCUGCUCUCUUCUGUUGGCCGUAGCUGUAGAAGCACAAGUGGAAACUCCUGGCCUGAAACCAGCACCUGCUCCUGCUCCUAAUGCCAGUUCCCUUUCUUAUUUCCCAGCCAAGCUCAUGGGACUUGUGGGUUUUGCUGUAUCUUUCUUUGUGCUUAAAUUGGUGGCUUGAGCCUUCCUUAAAUUUCAUUUCCCUCUUGUCUUGUGUGGUUUCUGUCCUACUUUUACAGUAUGUUGUUAUCAUGAUACACAAUCAUGAGUUCUUUACUUUCUUUUUGAUGCUAUUAUUAUUGUCUUUAGCGUAAUUUUUUUUUUAUAUUACUUCGCUAAUAUAAUUUGACUUAGUGUUUGGUGUAUUGUAUUAUUCAUGCUAGUAAUAUUGUUCUGGUAAUUAAAUGGUGUUUUGUUACGUUUUAAUAUAUAAUUAAACAUAUUAAUUAAUUAACUAGAGGAAAACCAUUUGUUCUGCAAUGGAAUAUUAUCAUUCAUGUAAACUCUUGGUAAGUAUGCAAAAUUGGAAUCGGUUUGGUUAAAUUAUUUAGACAAUAUUCCUUGAAUUUGACAAUUUUGACGAAACUGGAAAAUUUGUAUAUGAUCCUAAUUUAGGGUGAUGAUUUUGGCAAUUGGAGCAAUUUUUUGCAUAUCUAAUUAUUUAUUGUAUGCUUAAUAUUAAAAAGAUCUGGUCUUUAAUGGAGAUGAGAUUAGGUAUGAUCAAGGUAAAGCAGUCAUUGUGGCUUAUGCUAAAGAGUGUGUCAAUGCUGCUAGUACCUUGGUAGCAUGAAUUCGAAGAGGAUGCAAAAGGAUUGGUGUUGGUUAGGCUGGGACCUUCCAACCUUAGUACGGAUGGUUCCUAUAUCGCGUCGAAUGGGCUUGCUUCAGCAGGGGAUUAUCCGUAAUCACAAUGGGACUAGGUGUGGUGGUUGUGUUGUGAACCUUGGUUCUUGCUCAGUCAUUAUGGCGGAACUUUGGGGGUGUGUUCUUUGGCCUUGAGUUAGCCUGGAUUAAGGGUUCCGUCGUGUGCGAGUGGAAGUGGACAAAAAGAAUGUUAUUUCUGUGUUGGAUAGCAAUCAGUUUCCUUGUGCUCUUACUCAUAUGGUGAACAGUAUCAAGAAUAUUCUUGCUCGGGAUUGGAUUGUGGUGGUGAGACAUGUCUACGGCGGAUGUAACAACCGUGCCAAUUAGCUCGCUCAUUUUGAGAGUUCUUUACUAGUGGGCCUCCAUUUGUUGGAUCAACCUCCUAAUGGCAUGAGUAGCACUCUCCAAUAUGUUUGUGGUGUGUCCUUUCCUAGGCUCUCUGCAUUAUAUAAUUUUGUUUUAAUUUGUU
rnacentral:misc_RNA from 1 species